AUUAAAUAGGCAAACUUAAAGAAAUUUAAGGACGCAAAGCUAUAGGGACUAAAGAAAUUUUCCAUGUCAGCCAGUUGCCAA
rnacentral:ncRNA from 1 species